ACUCAUUUAAAAUCUGCACCAUGAAGAAACAGUCAGUCAGAUUUGAACCUGCACAGGGAAACCCCAAUGGAUUUUCUUAAUCUGUUACCUUAACCACUCAACCACAACUAAAGUAGCAGAUUUCCAGCUCUAACAGUUUCGGACACCAUCAUACAAUCAAGGGCCAGUAUUACUCCAGAUUUUAUUGCCAAAUGUUUCAUCGCUCGAAAGGCCGUGACAUUGGAUCGUUCUGUCAGUUUUGAGUGGUCCCCACCUUGAAAACAGUGAAUUUCACUGGCAAACAAACCACAUUUGCCGUCGGGUGCUUGCUUCACUGACCCUCACCAACUUUAACAGAUGCAUCAGAGAAAGCAUUCUAUCAGGGUGCAUCAUGGCUUGGUACAGCAACUGCUCAGCCCAGGACCAUAAG